rnacentral:lncRNA from 1 species
UUGGUUAUCUAAAAAAUUUACAUAUAUUUAUGAAUAUCUCAUCCACUUUAUUCAAUACAAAUAGUCUUUAAAAAAAGAACUAUACAAGCUUUUUUCAAAAAAAAAAAUAUUUUAUACAAUAUGAAACAAAAUUAAAGAUUAAGGGAACUAUAUGCUUCAUAACUUAAAAAAAAAUAAUUAUUUUGUAAUAAAAAAUUAAAAUUUUAGAAAAUUAUAGUGUUUAUAAAGAUUUAUCUUCUUCCAUAAAUUAAUAAUUUAAUAAAUUAAAUUGUCAAAAUUACAUGGUAAAACAAUAAGUAUAUAAAAUUACACAUUUAAAACUCUUU